rnacentral:rRNA from 1 species
CUAAGCCACGCGAGUCGAGAGGGUUCGGCCCUCGGCGGACUGCUCAGUAACACGUGGAUAAUUUGCCCUUAGGUGGAGGAUAAUCUCGGGAAACUGAGAAUAAUACUCCAUAGAUCUAGGAUGCUGGAAUGCACUUAGAUUGAAAGUUCCGGCGCCUAAGGAUAAGUCUGCGGACUAUCAGGUUGUAGUCAGGGUAAAGACCUGACUAGCCUACAACGGAUACGGGUUGUGAGAGCAAUAACCCGGAGACGAUAUCUGAGACACGAUAUCGGGCCCUACGGGGCGCAGCAGGCGCGAAACCUUCACACUGCGCGAAAGCGCGAUAAGGGGAUCCCAAGUGCCAGCUCGUAAGAGUUGGCUGUUUCUCUGUCUAAAAAGCAGAGAGAGUAAGGGCUGGGUAAGACGGGUGCCAGCCGGCGCGGUAA